GACGAACGCUGGCGGCGUGCUUAACACAUGCAAGUCGAACGGAAAGGCCCUGCUUUUGUGGGGUGCUCGAGUGGCGAACGGGUGAGUAACACGUGAGUAACCUGCCCUUGACUUUGGGAUAACUUCAGGAAACUGGGGCUAAUACCGGAUAGGAGCUCCUGCUGCAUGGUGGGGGUGGGAAAGUUUCGGCGGUUGGGGAUGGACUCGCGGCUUAUCAGCUUGUUGGUGGGGUAGUGGCUUACCAAGGCUUUGACGGGUAGCCGGCCUGAGAGGGUGACCGGCCACAUUAGGACUGAGAUACGGCCCAGACUCGUACGGGAGGCAGCAGUGGGGAAUAGUGCACAAUGGGCGGGAGCCUGAUGCAACGACGCCGCGUGCGGGAUGACGGCCUUCGGGUUGUAAACCGCUUUCGCCUGUGACGAAGCGUGAGUGACGGUAAUGGGUGAAGAAGCACCGGCUAACUACGUG
rnacentral:rRNA from 1 species